rnacentral:lncRNA from 1 species
UGGACUGCAUCAUCUCUCACAAAUCCUGAAAUUUUCCUUUAAUUUCUUCAUUUUCAUCUUGCCCAUUUUCAGUUUUUUUCUUUCUAUCGAUGGCUGAACAAAUCCCAUUUAGCAUUGCAGAAAACUUACUAACAAAGUUGGCCUCAAUUGCUUCUGAAGAAGUUAGUUUGGUGCAUGGCUUCAAAAAGGAUCUUAGAAAGCUUCAAACUACUCUCUCCACCAUCAAAGCAAUACUUGUGGAUGCUGAGGAGAAGCAAGAGGAGAGCCUUGCAGUGAAGGACUGGAUAAGGAGGCUUAAAGAGGUUGUCUAUGAUGCAGAUGAUUUGCUGGAUGACGUAGCAACUGAAGGGUUGCGAAGGAUGGUUGAAGGUGAGGGAAGAAUGGUUAGGAAGGUAUGCGACUUCUUUUCUUCCACUGGUCAAAUUGCAUUUCGUUUCAAGAUGGGUCAUAGAAUUAAAGAUAUUAGAGAGAGGUUAGAUGAAGUGGCCAAAGAAAUGUCCGACUUUGGCUUUAUAAUUAGGAAGGAAGUUGGAGCAUCUAUGGGAAUAAAGAAUAGUUGGAGGGAGACGGACUCCUUUGUAUUGAAAUCAGAAAUUAUAGGAAGAGAUGAUGAUAAGGAGAGGAUCAUAGAAUCAUUGAUGUGUCCAGUCAAUCAAACCAAUAUUUCUGUAGUUGCGAUUGUUGGGUUUGGUGGCUUGGGAAAGACUGCACUUGCCCAAUUAGUGUUUAAUGAUGAGAAAGUGAUGAAUUAUUUUGAUUUGAAGUUAUGGGUAUGUGUUUCUGAGGAGUCAAAUGUUGAAACACUAGUUAAACUCAUCCUUAAAAGUGCAAGCAAUAAUGAAGUUCCCAACUUGUCUUUGGAACAGUUACAGAUUCGCCUUAGACAAUGUUUAGAAGGCAAAAAGUACUUGUUGGUGUUGGAUGAUGUGUGGAAUGUAAACAAUAGGAUUUGGAGUCACUUGAGGAAAUAUUUGAUGGUUGGUGCCAUAGGGAGUAGAAUUUUAGUAACUAGUCGUAGUAAGGGGGUUGCUUUAGCUAUGGGUGUAGACUCUCCAUACCCUUUAAAGGGUCUAACCGAAGAUCAAUCAUGGGAGCUAUUUGAGAAGCUAGCAUUUAGAGAGGGAACAGGAAGGGCGAAUUCAAAUCUAAUAGAAAUUGGAAAAGAAAUGGCAAAGAAAUGCAAAGGAGUUCCACUUGCAAUUAAAGCUAUAGGAGGCAUAAUGCAACUAAGAAGUAGUGAAAGUGAAUGGUUGUCUGUCCUAGAAAAUGAGUUGUGGAAGGUCUACGAGAGUGAUGGUGAUAUUAGUCAAGUGUUGAAAUUGAGUUAUGAUGUCUUACCGUACCAUUUAAAGCAGUGUUUUGCAUACUGCGCAAUGUUUCCAAAAGAUUAUCAUUUUGGUAAGGAUAGAUUAAUUCAGUUGUGGAUGGCACAAGGCUAUGUUCAAUCUCAAAGUCAAAGUGAAAAUGAAAAUUUAGAGGAGAUUGGGGAAGGAUACUUGAAUGAAUUGUUAUUUAGGUCAUUUUUCCAAAAGGAUGAGUAUUGUUAUAAAAUGCAUGACCUUAUCCAUGACCUUGCACAGUCAAUAGCAGGGGAUAGUUGUUUUGCAGUUGAUGAUAAUACUAAACAUAUUCCUGAUAGAGUCCAACAUGUGUUCUCUGGAAGUUUGUCUUUUGAGGAAUGCUUCAGGCAGCUAAAAAAUAAAGGACUGAGGACACUGUAUUAUCCAUAUUUUGGUGAUGGAUUAAGCUUGAAUUUAGAUAAUAUUUUUUUAAAUUGUAGGAGCAUGCGUGCUUUGAGUUUUAGAUGGAAUAUCAAUGGAUUGCCAGAUUCAAUUGGAAAGUUGAAACACCUGAGGUACCUUGAAUUGUUUAGAAAUACUAAAAUCAGUUCACUUCCAAACUGCAUUUGCAGCUCGUAUAAUUUGCAAACUCUAAUACUGUUGGAAUGUCGGGUUCUUAAAGAAUUACCUACAGACAUGAGGAAAUUGAUUUGUCUCGGACAACUUAUUAAUAAGGGUUGUAGUAGCCUUGAAUUCAUGCCAUUGGGGUUGGGGAGAUUGACAAAUCUGCAGACUUUGUCAACUUUUGUUGUGGGAAGUGAUCAAGGAAGGAGAUGUUCCUCAUUGAAUGAGUUGAAUAGCUUAAACCGGCUAAGAGGUAAAAUCUCCAUUAAAGGACUAGAAAAUGUGAAAAAUGCAGCUUUGGAGUCCAGCCGAGUAAAUCUCAAGGAAAAGAAAUACCUUCUCUGCUUAAGAUUAAGGUGGGAUGGCAAGGGAGAUAGCAAUAGUGGAAAUAGUGAGUUGUUGUUGGAUAACCUACACCCUCACCCGAACUUGAAAGAAUUGAACGUUAUGUUCUAUGAAGGUGUGAGGUUUUCAAAUUGGCUUUCUUCUAUAUCUAAUCUCGUCAAUAUUACUUUAUAUAAAUGUCCGAAAUGUGAGCAUUUGCCGCCAUUGGACAAUCUGCCUUAUCUGGAAAUUCUCAAUCUUAGCUAUUUCGAUUCUCUGGAGUACAUAUCAGAUGAAGAUAAUUUAUUCUCUUCUUUAUCUGCAUCAGCAGCAACAUUCUUUCCAUCUCUAAAGAUUCUUAAACUCGAAGUUUGCCCUAAUCUGAAAGGGUGGUGGAGAACAUUUAUGGAAGCAAAGAUGGUGCCUCAAUUUCCUUGUCUUUCUAAAUUAACCAUCGCGAAUUGCCGUAACCUGACUGUGAUGCCAACGUUUCCAUCAGUAGACAUGGAGCUUCAUCUUGCCUAUGCCCACAUAAGACCAUUGCAUUAUACAUUGCAGAUGUCUGCAACGGCUUCUGGAGUACCAUCAACCUCUUCUUUAGUUACUUCUCCUUUUUCCAAAUUAAAGACUUUGUGGUUACAGGGUUUUGAGAAUCUAGCAUCUCUACCUGGAGAGUGGAUGCAGAACCUCAGCUUCCUUGAGGAACUAUUUCUUAGCAACUGCAUGGAAAUUAGUGAUGAGGAUGAGCGUGGCAUAUCCAAAUGGAGAUAUCUUGUUAGUCUCCGAGAUCUCUCUCUCUAUAAUCUUUCAAAUCUGGUGUCUCUACCAAGGGAGCUUCAAUAUGUUACCACCUUGCAACGUCUCACUAUCUACGACUGUUCUAAUUUGAGGGCUUUGCCUGACUGGAUAGGCAACCUCACAGCACUCGAAAAUCUACAUAUCGAUGGCUGCCCUAAACUGGAAUCGCUACCAAGAGGAAUGCAUCAAAUAACUACUUUACAACAAUUUAGUGUUCGCCGUUGCGCCCAUUUGUCUGAAAGAUGCGGACACGAUACGGCUGCAGAUUGGCCCAACAUUUCUCACAUCCCAAAUAUCCGCAUAAAUGGAAAUGAUAUUCAAAAGGAGGGCCGGUAUUUACUGUAAGAAGAAGGAUCCUCUGCUUUCACAGGUUAGGACUUUCUUCGCUUCAUCCCUUUUUUUUAUUUUUUUAUAUAUAUAUAUAUAUUUUAUUUUAAAUGAAAUCACCUAAUUUUUUUCAAACAAAUACUUCUAUCCAGUAGGCUACUCCAUUCUGUCUUCACCUUAAUUUAAGUUAACUUACUUUUCUGAUUCUAUAUGCAGAGAUGCUGGAAUAUAUGUUGCUCUUAUAUGCCGCCAACCUUUUUCAAAUUUUAGAAUGGCUCUUAUGAUGACAGGUGGAUAACAAAACUAAAAAAUCAAAGACUAUGUUAUUUCUAUCAGUAAAUCACAUUGGAAGCAAUGGGAAUUUGCAUUGUGUAUCUAAAAGUCAAUUGCUCUGCAACUUACGUUGCAUCGUCGCUACUCCUUUGAGAAUGGAGAAGCAAGCCACUCAAAGCAAGGUCUAGGAUCAGAGCAGCAGAUCCUGGAGCCUCAAGGACUGGUAUCUUUCAAGAGUCAACAAGUGUGGUUCUGUGAUAUAAGCAGGGUUGGAAGGAUUUUAAUACCUGGUAUAUUUGCAAUCAUUGUUCUAUCCUGAUAGUGAAUUUUCUGAAUUUAAUUGCAAUAUGUUCAUGUGUUAAUCCUUGCAGGUUACCUAGAAUGCAAGUCAUUUUAAGCAAAGGUUGAGAUCAUUUUUAAUUUGUUGUUUUAUAAUAAUUUGAAAUUUUUGAAGCUUAUCAAAGCAUCUUCGGAUUUGGUCUCUCCUGAAUUAUUUGAGAACAAGAUAGUGGAUGCCAUGAAAUUCCAGAUUCUUUGAGAAUGAGUAGAGGGGAUAGUGGGUGCUAUGAAUUCACUGGUUCUUCUUUCAGAGUAGGCAGCUUUUGACUCAGCCGUGAAGAAAUGGUCUGCUGUUAUGACGAAAAAUGGCUUCAGAAUAGGCAAUGGUAAAUAUCAUAUGACCUUGUGAAUAGUGGUUUAAAAUCAAUGUAGAAGAUUUUGGAAGAGAACUAAUGCUCUCUGACAGAUUUACACGUGAAGAUGGUAAUGAUACUUGCAAACUCAGUGCGCUUCUGAAAGAAGAUGAAUUGGUUGUGUGGGAGGAAGAAUCCUUAAGUUUUUUAAUCUUUCAUUGAGGGGACAGACAUCGUUUAAGGUUGCAAAUCUAAGAGCUGCUCUUUUCUUGUUCUUUUCACAAGUGUCUUCAUUAGUGAGCAUCCAUAAAAAGUAGUGAGCUAUUUCACUUGUGGCAACUACCAAUGAGAAACCUUUAUUAAAAUAUAAGGAGUAAAUUGUAAUUUACUUGUAAGUUUAAUAUGGGUGCAAUUGGCAGCUCAGUACCAUGUUUCCACUCUACCUCUUUGGAUUUGUGUUGUGAAAUGUAAGAUUACUUUAAACUUUGGUAGGCUGGCAAUAGCCAAUCAGCUAUGAAACCUUCCCUCAAGAAAUUCAUAAAAGUUGUGAAAUUUGAUUUUGAAGCCCUUUUUCUCCUUACCGGGAGUAGAAUAUAAAAUAUUUUAAAUUUAUUCGGAUAUAUUUAUUAUUAAAUUAAGUCUAUAAAUUUAAAAUUUAGAGAUAAAAGUUAUUUUUUAAUAAAUGAGUUGAUAAAAUAUAUUAAUUUUUUUUUAAUGAUGACCGUUCAAUUUCUCUAAUUUUCUUUAAAUAUCUAUUAAUGAAAAAAAGAAAAUAUAAAAAAUUUCCACAAAAUUGAUAUAAAUUUUUUUAAUCAUCCCAAAUAUAUUUUUUAAGAAAAUAAUUUAUUUUUAUAAUGUUAAAAAAUAAAGGGAUAAUAUGAUUUUUAAAAAUCAUAUUGUUUUUUAAAAAGUGAAAUUUUUUCUUUAAAAAUUAUUUAGAUUUUUUUUAUUAAUUUUGAGUCUUCAAAUGCUAAAAAAAUGCAAAAAAAAUAUUUUAUUGGAAAAAUGUUUUUUUUUCAAAACAAAUGAGCUUGACUUUGGUGUAUGUUAGAGCUGCUAUAUUAAAAAGGUAGCUCAUUAAAUAUGUUGGUUAGGAAUUAUUAAAAAUUAUUUAUUAAAUUAAUUUAAUAUAUUCUAAUCAUAAAAAUAUCAUAAUAAAUAAAUAAAGUUUCAAACUACAUUCUUUAAGAAAAUCUAAAAUAGUAAAUAUAUAGUAAAUUUUCAAUCACAAUCCUAAAUGUUUUCAUAUUUAAAUCACAAUCCUAAAUGUAUUUGCCUGUAAUAAUGGUGAUGUUAUAUAGCUAAAAGCUAAUUAGACAUGAUGUUAUCAUAAAAUAAUAUCACUUGGUGAGGGUUCAAUAAGUUAAUAUAUAGUUUCACUCAUUUCAAGUGAAAAUUCGAAUGUUACAAACAUUCAUUUUUUAAUAAGAAAUGUUACAUUUUUCUGAAUAAGUCGAAUUUUUAUAUAAAAUUACAAUUAACAUACACAAUUUAGUAAAUCUCUAUAACGCCUCUAAUUAUAGAAUUACUGAUCAAUGAGCUGAAAAAUUUUUUUAUCAAUGAGUCGGCUAUACCAUUGCCAGAUUUUAAAAAAUAUUAUAAUUGACUAUAUUUUCUUACAAAUAUAACAAUUAAUGAUAAAAAAAAUAAAAAUAUUUAAUUCUUAUAUAAUUACUCUUGAAUUCUAAGUAUUUGUUUAUAUUCAUCAUAUUCUCUAAGUUUAUUGAUUCAGUAAUUACCGUAGGCGUCAAUCACCCACAUUAUUUUUCUUGUAAAUUUAAUUCAUUACUGUAUAGCUCUAUUUUUCAAUUAUAUCAAAUGGUCUGUCUUGCUUAUUAAAAAAAUUAUGAAAUACAGUUUAAUUUUCUUUAGCAAAACUAUUUAAAGGUAAAUUAUAUUUUGAUUUUUAUAUUUUAACAUAAUUAACAGAUCAUUUCUAUAUUUUUAAAACUGAAUACUUAAAUUUAUCUAUAAUCAGUUUGUCCAAAUUUGAGAUCUCUCCAUUUAUUUAUUUAUUUUUUUUAAAUUGGAGGUUGGGGGAUUCGAACCUGAAAUCUUCUCAGAUUUACUCGGAUGCACUUACCACCAGGCUAAGCCUGUGAGUGUCUCUCUAUUUAAUUUUACAGUUAAAAGUGUAAAAAUAUCUUUAUUACUCUCUUUAAAUGGAUAAACUACACUUAAAUUUUUAAAUUUUAGCAAAAUUAAUGAAUCGAUUUCUAUAUUUUUGAAAUCGUACAUAUUAAAUCCCUCUAUAAUCAGUUCAUCCUCAUCUAUUAUAAUUUAAACAUUUUGAUCCUUCAUUUUUAUUUGAAAUAACACUAAAGUUCUCAUUAACUUUUAUUUAUAAUAUCUCAUUUAACUAAAUUUUAGCAUUUUUUUCUUUAAUUUUCAUUCAUUAAAAUAUUUUAAUAUUUAUAUUUUCAAAUUUUUUUAAAAAUACUUACAAUUUCAGCUAUUUUAAAUAGGUUAUAAACUUUAUAAAGAGUAUUUUAAGAAUCAAUCAUACUUUUAGAAAAAAUUUAACCAUCUACUAACUUUGAACUAAUAUUUAUAAUUGAUAGAAUAACUGUAAUUUUAGACGAAUUAAAUAUAUAGAGAUUUAAGAAUUUAAUUUAAAAAUUAUAAAGACUUAUUUAUCAAUUAUAUUAAAAUUUAAAAAUCAAAAUAUAAUUAUACAAUAUAAAAUUCUCACUUAUAUUAAAAAUAAUUUAAGUGUUUAUAUAAACAUUUUAAGUAUUUGAAAUAUUUAUUUUUUCUUUAAUCAGUUGAAUAAUGAAAUUAUAAAUGAAAAUAUUUUUUACUUAGAUAAAAUAAUUAUAUAAAAUUUUAAAUUGUAAAUUGAAAUUAAUCUAUUAAUUAUAUUAAAAUUUAAAAAUUAAAGUGUAAUUUUUUUAAAAUUUAAAUUAAAAUAUGUUGCUUUUAGGUAGCAGGCGGUGAUGGCGCGGACUUGCUUUGGAGCUCCGUUUGGGCCGCUAUUUUGUCUGAAUGGCUUAGGCAUGUGGCUACUGGCCUGUCCAAUUCCCUAUCUAACAUAAAUUAAAUAGUAAUAGUAAUUUUUCUCUCAUAUUUAAAUGGGAGAUAAUUUAAUCUUGAUUAUUGCUAUUAUUAAUAAAUUAUUUUUAUAUUUUCAAAAAUUUAUUGAAAUAUCUUUAAUUUUUAUCUUUCGUUAAUAAAAUAGUUAUUUUAUCAUUUUUUUCGUUAAAAAUAAAUAAAAUAUAAGAGAAAAUUUUUAAAAUCCAAUUUUACUCUUAAAUAAAACUCUUUAUUUAAUCAUUAAAUAUUACUAUUAUUAACAAGUCAGUCUCUACAUUUUUAAAAAUCUAUUAAAACGUUAUUAUCUUUUCUUAUAUCUAUUAAAAUAUUCUUAGCGUUUCUUUUUAUUAAUGAAAUAAUCUUUAUUUUUUCUCACAUCUAUUAAAACGUCCUUAUUGUUUACUUCCGUCAACAAAAUAGUCCUUACUUAUCAUUUCUUUCCUCAAUAAAAUAGUCCAUCCCUAUAUUUUCAUAAAUUGAUUAAAAUGUCGUUAUCUUUUUUCAUAUUUAUCAAAACGUCUUUAUUGUUUCUUUCCGUUAACGAAAUAAUCCUUAUAUUUUUUUCACAUCUAUUAAAAUGUUCUUAUCGUUUCUUUCCGUCAACAAAAUAGUCUCUCAUCUUCCUCUUUCUCUUCCUCCUCAAAAAAACAAGAAAAAAAAUGAAGAAAAAAAGAAGAUAAUGAUAAAGAAUAAGAAAAAGAAUAAAAAAUAAAGAAGAAGAAAAAGAAAAAUGAGAAGAAGACGAUGAUGAUGAAGAAAAAGAAUAAAAGGAAAAAUUACUUUCUCCUUUUUAAAAAAGAAGAAUAAAAAGAAAAAUUAAAAUAGAAUCAAAAAAGAAAAAGAAAAAGAAGAAGAAUAAGAAGAAGAAGAUAAAGAACCGAUGAAGAAGAAGGAGAAGGAGGAAGACAAGAGGGAUAAUUUGAUUUUUUAUUAUAUUUUUAAUGGUAAAAAUAAAUGAAAUGAUUAUUUUAUUGAUAAAUAGAAAAGAUAAUGACGUUUUAAUAAGUUUCUAAAAUUGUAGGGAGUAAUAUCCAAAAAUUAAAUUAUAAAUCAACCUAAUUAAAUUAAUCAUAUUAAUAUGUCAAAAAUAAAUCAAAUGAAUUAUUAGAUUUUUAAGUAUGAAAUAUACAUAAUAAAUUAAUAAUUUAAAUAAACAAGAUACCAAAUUUUGAAUUUUAAACUAAACUAGUUUAUUUUUUUUUUAAAAAAUAUUAUUUUCAUUUCUCAUUUCUCUUUUAUAUAAUAUUAAAAAAUUAUUAUUUAAUUUUUAUAAUAUAAAAAAUUAUAAAUUAAUUUUUUUAAUUUAAAAAAUAUAAUAAAAUAUUUUAAAUAUUUUACUAAUUAAUUCUUCUAUUAACAUUUGUAAUAGAGAUAAAUUAAUUAAUAAUUUUUUUAAAAAUAUAAAAAAUUAAUUAAUUAAUUUUUUAAAAUUAUAAAAAUUAAAUAAUAAAAUUUUUAAAAAUAAAAAUUAAUAAAAUAAAUAAUCAGUAAAUAUUUUUAAAAUAUUAUAAUAUUUAUAUAUUUUUUUUAAAAUUAAAAAAUUUCUUUAUAGUAUAAAGAAUAAAUACUAAUUUUUGCAGUAAUAUUUUGUGAUUUUAAUUUGGCAUUGACUCGAUCAUGAAGUCUUUGUCUUUGUCGGUACUAAAUACAUAAAUUCUAAUUUAAUUUAUUUUAAUUUUAGUUUGUUUGGUGUGGGUCUGUGCACACAUCUCUGGUGUCCAUAAAGUCUCCAUAAAUACUCUCCGAGUCAGAUGUGACUCUGCCUGAACAGCCCUUAAAGCUUUAUAAUAAAAAUCAUACUAAAUUAAAUUUGUUUUUAUUUUAUUUUAUUUUUUAUUUUUUAUUAUUUUACUGAAAACCCAAUUAAAAUAGUAUUAAACUGGUAUCGUAUCCAAACUCACAUUAUAUACAUAUUUUUUAUAAUUUUUAUAUUAUAUAUAAUAAUUUAUAUUUUAAUUUUUAAUAUAAUGAUCAAAUCAAUUUUUAUAUUCUUAACAUAAAAAAUUUAAACUUCUCUAUAAUUCAUCCAUUCAAAUUAAAUAUUCUAUCAUUCAUCUCUUAUUAUUAAAAAUAUUAUUAUUCUUUUAAAUAAAUAAACUAAAUUUUAAUUCUUAAAUUUAAGUAUAAUUAUUUAAUUUAUUUUAUGUAACGACCCGGAAACCGGACCACUACCGGCGCUAGGAUCCAAAUCGGCUUAAGGCAGCCGGAACCCGUAGCAAGCCUAACAUGCAUCCUGAGAACCUGUAUAAUCUCAUACAUGAUCAACAAACAUACAUAAAAACUGUAAACUUUUUUCUUUUUCUUUUCAUACAUUCUUUCAUAUACCAAACUCAACCUGAUCAUACCAUAACUAUACAUUGAUCCCUCUGUGGGAUCUCAUCAAUGCCCCAAUGGGCUACAUACAUAUGUUGAGUUGGUUUACAUCUGUGACAUAAAACAUCUAGGAUCAUAUAAUAAAAGGGACAACAUCAUAGGGUCAAGCACAUCUCUAAACCUCAAUCAUCAUCAUCAUUACAUAACAUACUAUACAAUACUCUUACAUCAUAUUACAAUUUUCAUGUCCACUACCUAUCUAUUACAAGCAUAAAACAUUACUCUUCUUGACUUCUCUGUCUAGCCCGUACCUGCAAACCUGGGGUUAGGGGAGAGGGGUGAGCUAAAAAGCCCAGUGAGCAGAAUAGUAAAAAUAUUGAAUUUAUAUUUCAUGCCUUCAUGAAAUGCAACAUAGCACAAACAAAUCACAUCAAUGAUGAACUUGUCACCAAUAGUCCUCUACAUAAUCCAAACAUGCCAGGGGCGUAGAAUGGGCCUCACUGGUCUUUCUCUUAACAUAUCAUAUCAUACAUAUCAUUCCAUAGUGCCAGGGGCGUAGAAUGGGUCUCACUGGUCUUUCUCUUUCUCUGUGCCAGGGGCGUAGAAUGGGCCUCACUGGUCUUUCCAUACCGUAUCAUCAUCAUGCUAUAACAUAUGAGGACUAAAGGAUCAUUCAAUAUUCAUCCACAUCAUCAUCAAGUUAUACAAUGCAACAUAUUCGUGAUUCUAAUGCAAACAACCUAGUACAUCUCAUGGCAUACGUGAUGCAUGUAUCAUGCUCAACAUUUAUUUAUUAGUUUGAAACUUAAGAAGUUAUUCCACUCACCUCUGGCUAGCUCUGACCAGACACUGGGGCAGCUGACUCACUGCUGGGGUCCUCGGUUCCUCGGGUCCGAACCUACACAGGUGGACUCAAAUGAGGGACCAAACAUACUGAAACAUAACUCUAAACUACUCCCCAAAAACCCCCUAAAACAUCAUAAAACAUUAAUGCAAAAACAUGCAAGAAAUGGCUGAACAGGGCACUUUCGGCGGCAGGUUCGGCGGCCGAAAGUCCCUCCAAAGCCGAAAGUCAGGCAGGUUCGGCGGCACCUUCGGCGGCCGAAACUCCCAGACAGAGACGAAACUCAUGCAUGUUUGGGGGCACCUUCGGCGGCCGAAACUGCCCGACAGAGCCGAAACUCCUCUUUCGGGGGCAAGCUUCGGCAGCCGAAUGCUGCCUCCACAAGAGGGUUCGGCGGCCGAAAGUCCCCUUCGGCAGCCGAACCUGGUUUCUCCCAAAAGGGCAGAAACUCUGCUCAACAUGCACAAAUGCCUCCCAACUCCUCCAUCAUGCACAAACCUAUGCUACAACACUCCCAAACAUGCAUAUAAGCUCCUAGGGGCUCCAAACUAUCCUAAGCCCCAACUACAACACAACAAACAUGCAUAUCACAAGCCACAUUGUACAAAAUCAUGCAUAAAACCCAUAAACUCUACUUAAGCUUACUCAUGCAUUUCUACCCCAUGAACUUGCAUAAAACUUGUUUAAAACAUAAAAUGAACUUAAGAUCGGCUCUUACCUCUUGAAGAUCGAGAAUGAGUCGACUUAAACUCGGAGAUGGGAGAUCUUUAUCUUCCUUGGGUCUCCAAGCUCAAAACUUGCUUAAAAUCGUCAAAUACCUUCAAAUCGACAAAAACAUUGUUAAAAACGAAAGAUCUGAAGGAAAAGCAUUGAAAACAACCUUAGGAGGGCAUAAGCUCACCGUGGCCGAAAAUGGGGAGAAAACUCGCCCGUUUCGGCCAUGGAACUCAUAUAUAGGGGCUGCCAGACCACCUUUCGGCUGCCGAACGUGCCCCCACAUCUCAUGCAUGUUCGGCGGCCGAACAUGAGGUUCGGCGGCCGAACCUUUAAAACUUUCGGAAGCCUAACUUACCCUCCAAAACCAUCCCAUGUUCGGCGGCCGAACUUGGGGUUCGGCGGCGAAACCUGGAAAAGUCUCCUUAGUCUUUUUCAUACAAAACUCAGUUUCCUUUUUAUUUAAAAACAUUAAAUACAUGAAAAACAUUUGUGAAAACAUGAUUCUACCCUUCUAGAGGUCUCUGACAUCCAAAUUCCACCGGACGGUAGGAAUUCCAGUACCGGAAUCUAGCCGGAUAUUACAUUUUAAUAUUUUUAAAAUUAAACAUUUAAAUAUCUUUAUAAUUAAACUUUUCAUAUAUUUAUUUUUAUUAAAAAUAUAAAAAUAUUUUUAUUAUUUUUUAAAUUAAAAAUAUUAAUAAAUUAGAUUUCAUUCAUUUCACUCAUUUAUUAAAAUUUAAAUAGCUAAAUUUAUUUUUUAUUUUUUAUUUGAUAUAAUACUUAAAAUUAAAUUUUAUCUAAAUUAUCACAUUCAAUUAAUUUUUAAUAUUUUUACUAUUUAAUUUCUAUUCAUUAAAAUAUUUUAAUAUUAAAUAAUUUCAAAAUUUUUAAAAGUAUUUAUAAAUUUAAUAAUUUUUAAAUUGUAUUAUAUAUUUAUAAAUAAUAAACUUUACGCCGUAUUCUUAGAGAAAAAAAAUUAUAUUUUUAGAAAUUUGAUAAUAAAGUAGCUUUUAACUAAUAUAUAUAAUGUUUAAAAAAAUUGAAUAUAAAAAAUUUACAAUUUUAGUUUUAAAAAUAUAAGAUUAAUUUAUUAAUUAUAUUUAAAAUUUAGAUAUAAAAUUAUAAUUUAUGCCAUAUAAAUAAUUUUAUCUACAUUAUUAUAUUUAUUAAAUUAUUUUAAAUAUUUAUUUUUUAAUUUAUUAAUUGAUAUAUUUUUUAAAAUUAAUAAAUUUUUUAUAUAAAUAAAAACCUACAUAAUAUAUUAGAUUCAAAUCCCAACAAGUCAAGAUACGACUAACAAGAGAGAUGGGCCCGCUGGCUAUGGAUGAGUAAAGACUGGUGAAUACUGAAUAGAAGGGUAUGUAAGAGUUGACCGGCGAUGACUGCUUAUAGUUAUAUAAUUAAAUUAAGCGUGGGUAUUAAAUUUUUUUAUAUUAUUAUUAUAUAACAUUAUUUUAUAAAAUAAUAUUUUUUUAGUAUAAAUUUACUUCACUUGUUAAGAAAAAUAAAAUAUUUAUUUAAAAAUUUUAAAUUCAAAAUAAUAAUUAAAUACAAAUUUAUGCACUAUAAAUCUCAAUUGUAACAAAUAAAAUUAAAAAUUUCAAUAAAUAAUAUAUAUUAAUAAAUUUAUUCAACAAAUUAUAUUUUAAAAAAAAUAAAGUUUAUUAAAUUGAAUAAAUCUCAAUUAUAGCAAAUAAAGUUUAUAAAUGGAAUAGAGAAUGAAAGAAUUAUUUUAUUGAUAAGAAAAAAAUAUAAAAUAUUUUAAUAAAUUUUUAAAAAUUUAUGGACUGACUUAUUAAUAAUGAUAAUAUUUAAAAAUUAAAUUAUAAUUUUUUUAUAAUUAUUACACUUAUUAAUAAUAUAAAAUAAAAUAAAUUUCAUUUAAACAAUUAAGUUCAUUUUUCAUUUGAAAAAAUAUUUAAAUUCUCAUUAAACUUUGUUUAACCUAUCACAUUCAAUUAAUUACUAUUUAAUUUUUAUUUAUUAAAAUAUUUUAAUAUCAUAUAACUUCAAAAUUUAAAAAAAAAAUUAUAAAUUUAAUAUUUUUAAAUGGUAUCAAAUAUUUAUAGAUUAUAGACUUUAUACUAUAUUUUAAAAAAAAAUUAUAUUUUCAAAAGUUUGUUCAUUUAGUAAUUUUUAAUUAAUAUUUAUAAUAAAUAAAAAAAUUAUAAUUUUAGAUAAAUUAAAUAUAAAAAAUUUAAGAGUUUAAUUUUAAAAAAUAUAAAAAUUAAUCUAUUAAUUAUUAAAAUUUAAAUAUAAAAUUAUAAUUUAUAUAAUAUAAAAAAAUUUAUCCAUGUUACUUUAUUUAUUAAGUUAUUUUAACUUGUGAACUAAUAUGGAUAGAAAAAUAAUAGAACCACCUCUGAUUUGAGAGCAGAGAAUUAAUGGAGUUGACGAGCGAUGACUUGAUUGCAAUUUCCAGCCAAGGAAUUAAAUUGCUUUGUCCUUUGCUUUUAUAAAGUAAGGCCCAUUGCACGUCAAUAUUCUAAAUUUAUUUUAAAUAAAUUAAUAAUUUUUUUUUAAAUUAUAAAAAUUAAAUAAUAAAAUUUUUAAAAACAAAAAUUAAUAGAAUAAAUAAUCAGUAAAUAUUUUAAAAUAUUAUAAUAUUUUUAUAUAUUUUUUAAAAUUAAAAAAUUUCUUUAUAGCAUAAAGAAUAAAUAUUAAUUUUUAUUUUAAUUUGACAUUGACUCGAUCAUGAAAUUUUUGUUUUUAUCGGUACUAAAUACAUAAAUUAUAAUUUAAUUUAUUUUAAUUUUAGUUUGUUUGGUGUCAGUCAAUCGACACAUACAAAAUUUAAAAAUUUCACUCAUAUUAUUAUAUUUAUCAAAUUAUUUUAAAUGUUUAAAAUAUUUAUUUUUAAAUUUAUUAAUUAAUAUAAUUAUGGAUGUAAAAAAUCUCUAAAAUUAUAGAGGACCUCUGAUUUGAGAGCAGAAUAGAGAUAGGAAGCAGAGAAAUGAAGAACACAAGUGUGAGAGGGUGAAUAGAGGUUAGGUAGGAGUUGACGAGUGAUGACUUGAUUGCAAUUUGCAGAAAAAGAAUUAAAUUGCUUUGUCCUUUGCUUUUAUUUUUUAAUAAAUAAAAUCAAAAAUUUUAUAAAAUAGUAAUAAUAUUUUAAAGGGAGAUUUAUAAUUUAAUUUCUAGAUAUUAUUAUUAUUAAUAAAUCAAUAUUUAUAUUUUUAAAAAUUUAUUAAAAUAUUUUUAUAUUUUCUUUUUCGUCGAUAAAAUGGUCAUUCCGUCCUCUAUUAAAAUAUUUUUAUAUUUUCUUUUCCAUCAAUAAAAUAGUCAUUCCGUCCUCUUUUCCGUUAAAAUUAGAUAAAAGGUAAGAGAUAAAAUUUUUAAAUUCCAAUUUUAUCCUCAAAUAAAAUAUUUUAUUUAAUUCUUAUCGUUUCUUUUCGUCAACGAAAUAAUUCCUAUAUUUUUUACAUCUAUUAAAACGUUCUUAUCGUUUCUUUUCGUCAACGAAAUAGCUCUUCCUCUCUCGACCUUCUCCUCUCCACCUCCUCCUCCUUCCUCCUCUUCCUCCUCUUCCUCCUCCUCCUCAUUAUCAUCAUCAUUAAAAAAGAAAAAAAAAAGAAAAUGAUGAUGAUAAUGAUGAAGGAGAAGAAGAAAAAGAAGAAGGAGAAGGAGAAGAAGAAAAAGAAGAAGGAGAAGGAGAAGAAGCAGAAGUGAAGAAAAAGCAGAAGAAGCAGAAGUAGAAGUGAAGAAUCGAAAAAGAAAGAGGAAGAAUCGAUGAAGAAGAAAGAGGAGGAGAAAAAGGAAAAGAAGGAGGACAAUUUGGUCUUUUAAUAUAUUUUUAACUGCAAAAAUAAAUAGAAUGACUAUUUCGUUGACGGAUAAAAAAGAUAAGUACGUUUUAAUAGAUUUCUAAAAAUACAGAGACUUGACUGAUUAAUAAUGCCAAUAUCCAAGAACUAAAUUAUACAUCUCCCUAAUUUAAAUUUAAUAUAUCAUAUUUUCUUCCACACCUUAUAUAUAUUGGAUCAUUAAUUAUGGACUGCAUCAUCUCUCACAAAUCCUGAAAUUUUCCUUUAAUUUCUUCAUUUUCAUCUUUGCUCAUUUUCAGUUUUUUUCUUUCUAUCGAUGGCUGAACAAAUCCCAUUUAGCAUUGCGGAAAACUUACUAAUAAAGUUGGCCUCAAUUGCUUCUGAAGAAGUUAGUUUGGUGUAUGGCUUCAAAAAGGAUCUUAGGAAGCUUCAAACUACUCUCUCCACCAUCAAAGCAAUACUUGUGGAUGCUGAGGAGAAGCAAGAGGAGAGCCUUGCAGUGAAGAACUGGGUAAGGAGGCUUAGAGAGGUUGUCUAUGAUGCAGAUGACUUGUUCGAUGAUUUUGCAACUGAAGGUUUGAGAAGGAAGGCUGAAGGUGAGGGAAGAAUGGUUAGGAAGGUAUGCGACUUCUUU